CAUACAUUUUUGAAAAGUAGACAACCCAGGGUUUUCAAUAUGGGGUAUGUCCAGUCUUCUUUAGUAGCCACUUAGUCACAAACACUGGUCAAAGUUAGCAUUUAUAUUUGUUUGAGUGUUAAAAAUGCAAAAAAACAUUAUGAACGCUAAGUUUGGCCAGUGUUUGUGACUAAGUGGCUACUAAAAAAAACUGAACGUAAAACCCUAUUUGCAAUACCUUGGGUUGUCUUCUUUUGCAAAUGGUAUG